rnacentral:lncRNA from 1 species
UUUCUCAGAAUCAAGCUGCUACAGUACCGAUUUGUCAGGAACGGGUCCUGACUUGUGAAGAAAUAAAGGAAGAAGAAUUGUAGAAGAAAUAGAAAAGAAUUUAGAAGGGGAUGAGAGCAGAAUUAGAAUUUAGGAUGAAGAAAGAACAAGGGAGAAGAAGAGAAAAGAAGAACUCUGUAGAGAGAAGUUUCAAAUUUCAUUUAUGUUUUCUGCAUACAAAUCCAUUAUCAACUCUACCUUUUAUAGCUGAAAAGUAAUUAGUUGAAAUUAAUUUCUAACUAAUCAAAACAACUUAACUAAUUAUUUCUAACAAAUCUAACCACUAUUAGUUGGGUCCUCACAAUUUCUUGCAUUGUUUGAAUCCCCAAUAGUGGGGCAAUUGUGAGCAACAAUUAAGAAAAAAGAAGAUGAAAAAAAAAAGGUUCUCAUAGGUCUAACUUAAGAGACAAGCUCUACUCCAAUACCAUGUAGAAGAAUAGAGUGAAAUAUAUACCUUAUUAUUCUCUAACACUACACUCAAGCUAAUGUCUAAAUUAGCUCUCAUCUCGUUACAAGUAAACUAGAACAAGUCAGAACACUUGAAUUAAACAGAAAACAAUAAGUUAAAACGUAUCUAGUUCUGCAAACAACUCACAGUCAAGAUUGAUGAGCUCCACAACCAACUUGCAACAAGAUCAAUGAAUGAAGAUUUGAACGAUAGCCCAGUUAAACAACAAUGAAGGAUCAACUUCCAAUUCAAGAAUAAUAAACAACUCAAUCAAACAAGAACUCAACUAAAAUCAACAGUCUGGACAGCUUUGGCACAUAACCCGUCACCAACUUCUCACAGACAUGAAAGCUUACCUUGUUACAGCAUUUCUGGUUGAUACUACUUCUGCUUGGACCUUGCAUUCUGUCUUAGAUCCUAAAUCCGUCUGCUUGCAUUGAUUCACUAUAAACAUUAUACGUACUGCAGUGGCUAGUUUAUUUAGACAGAGAAACAAACGCAGAUUAAGAAAUGAAUGAUUAUAUACACAAUAUGUAAAAUGUACAGUGGCCCUAGUCCAAAGGUGACUCACUACGAUUUGUGUGGUUGGAUUUAUUAUACAGAAUCUCCAAAUCUAAUUUUGAUAAAUCCAACUAUUAAGCCACGGUCACUUAAUUUGAUUUUCUUAGAGUCACCUCAGAAAACUCCAAUGUGCAAUGCGCUACGACAGAAAAAAAAAUUAAA